UCGUGUCCGCAAGAGGAAAACCUUGAAGCAGCCGAGUGAAAUGGAAAGCUCGAAAGAAAUGGAAAUAAUUCCAGAACUUCCUGCCAAUGACAUACAACAGAGCUUUGGAGAUGAGGGGAGCGAAAGGAAAGUGGAAACUGUGACUGACCGUCUGGCUCGCAUGACUCGCGCUGGAGCAGCAGUAAAUCUCCAUCUUUUUUCGGCUCCAGCUCCAAAACAAGGGAACGAAACUCCGAAACUUGAUUCCGACAAGUUGGCUCCAAAUCGUACUGGGGACACUGGCGAUGAAUCACGAGUUUUUGUUCAGUCCGGUCCAAUACUGACUUGCGAGCACCUCGAGCUCUUACGGGAAAUCAAGCAUUCACAGGUACGUAAUUGGAAUCAAACUUGAGCGAGCUUACCAUUUUCUUCUUCUUGUAUUGUACGUAGGCAAACAUGUCCGAGUCAUUCGCGUCAUUUUCUUCGAGACUCG
rnacentral:lncRNA from 1 species